UACGAAGGGGGCUAGCGUUGCUCGGAAUUACUGGGCGUAAAGGGCGCGUAGGCGGACAGUUUAGUCAGAGGUGAAAGCCCAGGGCUCAACCUUGGAAUAGCCUUUGAUACUGACUGUCUUGAGUUCGGGAGAGGUGAGUGGAAUGCCGAGUGUAGAGGUGAAAUUCGUAGAUAUUCGGCGGAACACCAGUGGCGAAGGCGACUCACUGGCCCGAUACUGACGCUGAGGCGCGAAAGCGUGGGGAGCAAACAGGG
rnacentral:rRNA from 1 species